GCACUCUCAUGCAGGGCAGCACGGAAGCAUGUCUGGCUCCGGCACAGCUCCCAGACAUUCUGCUCUGAGUGGCAUGGUGGCUCUUUGAAAAAAUUCCUAGAAAGAGUAGUGGUGAAAGCAGAAGAGUUGGGUCUAAAGACAUCACAUGAAAAGCCAAAGCCAAUGCCUAAGUCUGUUGUAAAGGCAAAGAUAUCGCUACCCAAAUCGCAGGCAGCAUUGGUAUGCAUUGUACACUUCAAAUACGCGACUAGUAUCACUGCAAGGGACUUUAAACAUCAGUUAGAGAUCCAACAUAGAACUGGACUUGUGACUGCUGCUCACGUGACAUUCAGCCACAUCUGGAAAAACAAAGGUAUUACCAUGUAGUGUAAACUGAAAUUGCUGCAGUCUUUUGUUGUUAACCUCUUGCUGUAUGCAUGGGAGACAUGGAUGUUAAGCAAACAGGACAUUAAGAGGCUUUCUAUCUUUGAAUUGAAAUGCUGCAGGCAAUGCAUGUUAGCUAUAUCUCCCGCAGGACAAACGAAGAGAUAUUCACCUGAAUUUACAGCAUAACUGGAGUGACACCUGACAUCAAGAUGAUCAAACAAAGAAAACUUCAGUUUGUGGGACAUGCGGGUUGAAGGAGCGGAGGAAGAUUGCCAAAGCAAGUGUUGUAGGGGCUGGUGCCAGUGGCAAGGGAUACCCGAAGGGGGCACUCAGUGUGGCUGGAUGUGGGAUGGUGUGUUUCUCACAGCUGUGUGAAGUCUGCUAAACAUGAAGGAAGACUACUGGCCAGUGACUCUCAUGUAUUGUGUGUAUUGCUCAUUACGAUGUGAAUCUAUAGUACUUUGCACUAUGAGAUAAUGUGUGUGGGUAUGUGUUCCUUGAAGUAGGAGUGCUAGAAAUGCAGCAGUGUUCUAUUCCUUUUAAAUAUAUUGCUCCAAAAUAGAGGAAAAUUAUGAGUAAACAAAACAAAAUAAAGUCCACUUUGUAAGAAAGGAGAUGCAGAAGGGCCCUGCACAUGUGGAUGAAGAUUUAUACAGUAGCAUCCCACAGCAUAAGCACCAGCCCCACCUCUCUGUGGCUCCGACGUGGAAUCUGAGCUCCGCAAAACUAGGUACUAGCUAAGUGGGUAGGGGGUUUAGUCACAAGACAGUUUCUAUGAGUUUUUUCUGUUCUUGGGGAAGCUCCAAGCAGAGAUAACACCAUAGCUUGACAAACUAUGCAGGAGGUAUGGUCGGUAGCAGGUGAAAGAAAAACCAGUGGCAGCAUGCCAGGGUAGACUGCUGUUCUAUUUGUGUUGUAGGGGUAGUUUAGAGGAAACAUAUGCUGAGAUCCACAAAAACUGGUUUUAUUUUCUCUCAUGGAUCCUCAGCCUCUGCAAGAAGAGAUGUCUAUGCCCCUGCUGAGCAUCCAUUCUGCCCCCAAACCUUCCUGGAGGGGAUGAUGUGACAAGCAAUGACUCAAAAAAGACCAUGCGGUGAUAUGGAUCAGUGUUUCAUUUCACGCAGGCCAUCUGACCCACCAAGGAAUCUGGCUCGAAAAAGGGAGCAUAUGUCCAUUAAUGUCUGCUCAUGGCCAUGGUGUCCAAUUGCUGGGAGAGUUUUUUAUUAUGGAACAGUGGGAAUGAACAUCUUACACUAGAAACUCAACAAACAGUUUUGAUCUUUGUGGAUACCAGGGCUUUCAUAGCAUUGUAACUGGAGAUUCUAUUAUAUGUGAACUUGAGUGAAGAGCCUACUUCUUUGUGUCUUUCUGCACUUUUUCUGUAUUCCCCUGUGUUUGGAUUCAUAUUUUAUUCCUGUGUUUUCUCUCUUCAUUUAUAUUUGGAUGUUUUCUAAGUUCAUAAAAGGGAAAUUAUUAAGAUAAAUAAAGUUUAAAAAACCCUAAACUGUUGAAGACUAAUUAACUAUAGAUUUAGUGCAUACUGGAAAUUUUCUGGAUGAUUUGCUUGCCAUUUAUUUUAAUUUUAGUAAAAUCUUUUUAAGUGACCACUCAGGCAACAAGAAAUAGCUUGUGGUGGUCUUCUAAUAAAACCUGAGCAGCACGUAUUCCAUUAUAUCUGCAGACGCUUUGGAACUGUCUCUUAAGACAGGAGGUUACCUAAUAAGAGUGGUCUUGUGCACUGGCUUCACAGUCGUUAUCUAGAAUCAAGCAUAAAUAAAGUAUAAACUAAAA